rnacentral:rRNA from 1 species
CCUACGGGAGACAGCAGUGGGGAAUAUUGCACAAUGGGGGAAACCCUGAUGCAGCGACGCCGCGUGAGUGAUGACGUAUCUCGGUAUGUAAAGCUCUUUCAGUAGGGAAGAAAAUGACGGUACCUGACUAAGAAGCCCCGGCUAACUACGUGCCAGCCGCCGCGGUAAUACGUAGGGGGCGAGCGUUAUCCGGAUUUACUGGGUGUAAAGGGAGCGUAGACGGCGCUGAAAGUGCGGAGUGAAAGGCCAUGGCUUAACCAUGGUACUGCGCUGGAAACUGUGGAGCUUGAGUGCGGGAGGGGCAGGCGGAAUUCCUAGUGUAGCGGUGAAAUGCUUAGAUAUUAGGAGGAACACCGGCGGCGAAGGCAGCAUACGGGAGCGUAACUGACGUUGAGGCUCGAAGGCGUGGGGAGCGAACAGGAUUAGAUACCCUAGUAGUC